rnacentral:lncRNA from 1 species
GCACAGUCAGUCCCUGGGAGCGACGGGCACAGGGGGAUGUGCAGUUUCCUUGGACAAGGCUGGAGCACCACAGGAGCUGCCAUGGCAGGUAAGAAACAGACCCUCGCCUGGGACGUGUUAACCAGCGACUCCUGAGAGCGAUACUGCUCAGGUAAGCAGCCUGUGUGAGGAGGGACAUGCUGGGGACUGAGCUAAGGGCUGAGCUUAGCUGAAGAGUGAUGUAAUGUUGUGAAUGAUGAAAGACUGAUCAUGGUGCUUUGGAGCAUUGGACACGUGAGAAUUGGUUGUGGUUUUCUGCCCCCAGCAGAAGGUGCCACGCACAUUAACAGCCCUCUGUCUCAGAGGCCUUUGAGCACACAAAGAACCGGAGGCGUUGUGGGGGUGCUGGAUGGGUUCCCAUCUCAUUCUGUAGAGGAAGACUGUGUUGGGACUACAGGAUGCGUGUCCCGCUGCGGUGCUGUCAGCAGAUGAACAGAGGGCCACUGUUUUGAGAUGGAUGGAGAUGGAGACAAGGGGAGCUGAGAGGGCAGUGGGCAGAGGAGGAGAGCUCGGCGUGUGGUUAUUCUGGGUUGAGGGCUGGGCUUGAAAGGCGCUGGCAGGCUGCAUGGGAAGGAGGACUCCAGCAGUGACCCUCCAUGGCCCUGUGACUCAGCAUCCAAACCCCACUGCUCACACAUGGGACUUGUGGAGACCUCGAGGUCUGGGAGGAAUUUCAGUGCUUCAGCCUGAAGGAGAGGUGCUGAGCGCUAUAGAAAAUGACAUUUUGAGGUUCUGGCCUCUGGCACACCCUACAGAAGUCGGUUCAUGUUAGAUUGCCACAGCUAUGAAGAAAAAGAGGCAACCACCGACUUCUUGUAAUGAUGCUUCUCCUAAACUGCCUUUGAGAUCUUACUCAGCCCUUGUCUGCCAUGCACAGGCUUUUUGCUGAGGGUUAUUUAUGUGCAUGCAUGGCAAGAGGGCUGUGUGCAGGGCUGGCAGCGCUCCGCACGUGAACUCUAAGGCAGCGGGCAUGAAAAGCAGAGAGGGAAUUUUGGGUCCCAUAAAUUCUUAUUCCAAAAAGUGCAGCUCGCCAGUAGCUGGGGGCAAUGGUCACCCCGAGGUGUGCUGCAGAGCCUGGGACUCGGAGCUCAGAGAGGGCAUUACUGCAGCUAUACAGCAUCCCUGAGAGCCCAGCCCUGCUCUGAAGCUCACACCCAAAGGCUGCUGGCUGCUAUGGAAGCAACUGGGUGCGUUCCCACAAUGAAGUGGGUCAUUAUCAGCUUAUCGUGUCCCUUCAUUAGAUAAGCAGCGGUGUUUUGUGCCAAAUCAGAGGGAGCGUUUGUCCCCCCUGUGCUGUUCAUUUCAGAGCUGCCUGCAGUUCGGGGAGGUGAGUUUGCCUGGAAAGUGAUGGAGUGAUGGAGAUGCUCUGUUCCAGCAGCGGGGCUCCGCAUCCCUCUGGCAGCGGGCUGUCUGCGCCGUGGGGCUCUUUCUGUGCCUGCAUAGCGGCAGACGGAGCCCCGCUCCCCCGAAACACCCAUCCCUCUCCCCUCCAGCCGGGCGGCGGGAGGUGGCUUUUCCCUGGGGAGCAGCGCUCCUGAGCGCACCGGGGGCUGACACGGAGGGCUGCGGCUUGGGACGGCUUGGGCAUCGCUGUACCUGCCCGCUGCGCUCCCCUCC